GAUGAACGCUGGCGGCGUGCCUAAUACAUGCAAGUCGAGCGAAUGGAUUAAGAGCUUGCUCUUAUGAAGUUAGCGGCGGACGGGUGAGUAACACGUGGGUAACCUGCCCAUAAGACUGGGAUAACUCCGGGAAACCGGGGCUAAUACCGGAUAACAUUUUGAACCGCAUGGUUCGAAAUUGAAAGGCGGCUUCGGCUGUCACUUAUGGAUGGACCCGCGUCGCGUUAGCUAGUUGGUGAGGUAACGGCUCACCAAGGCAACGAUGCGUAGCCGACCUGAGAGGGUGAUCGGCCACACUGGGACUGAGACAUGGCCCAGACUCCUACGGGAGGCAGCAGUAGGGAAUCUUCCGCAAUGGACGAAAGUCUGACGGAGCAACGCCGCGUGAGUGAUGAGGGCUUUCGGGUCGUAAAACUCUGUUGUUAGGGAAGAACAAGUGCUAGUUGAAUAAGCUGGCACCUUGACGGUACCUAACCAGAAAGCCACGGCUAACUACGUGCCAGCCGCCGCCGUAA
rnacentral:rRNA from 1 species